ensembl:lncRNA
AGAAGUGGAAAUGUAAGGGCUUUUUUACCAUAAAGAAGCAGCAUAAAGUCAUUAAUGUUGUUUUUCAGCUGGAAUGUGCUUUAUGAGAAUUACACUAGAAGAAGCCCGAAGGAGGACUUGUGGAAAACAUGCCUGAGCAAAGCAUGGGCAGUGAAAUUGUUGCAUCAUGACAUUGAUCCAGGGCUCUGGGGACAGCAGAGGAGAUAUCAUGGAAAUUUUCCAUUGACCACUGGACUCCAAGUUCUCCUGAUGAUUGGCUGCUAUCUCCACUGCUGUAUUUACAGGGGGAAAUUCCCAUCUGUCAUAUGGCAUGAAGUUCCUUUUGCGCUUAAAGCAACAACAAUAAAGGCAAUUCAUGAAAAUGAGGCUUUCCUUCAUCCAGCCAAUGUUACGCCUGGCUGCUCUGAGGUUGGAGAAAUGCUUAAGAAGCCUGAAACCAUUUAGGUUUAUUAUCGUAAGAUGGUGCUGACGAAUAGAGACAGGCAUUGCAGAGAAAGAAAAAUGAUGAUGACCACAAUUGCCACCCAACUCAUAACGGAAGCAGAUAUUAUGUACACAUCGACCAACUGGAACUGGAAUAGUUCAUACUUAAUUGUCUUUGACUUUGCAAGAGGAGAGGGGCUGGAUUAAAUAUGCAGCAGAUUUCUCAAGCAGAAGAUACAUGGUUUCCAUCCAGAGAUCUAAUUAAAGGAUGCUGAGUGAUUAAAAAUGACCAUGGCACCCUCAAGAGAAAGCAACUGAAUGCGCUGGAGUGAUAAUGUCCUCAGGGCUACAUCAGAGCUUAUCUUUGUCCCCCAGUAAAUGUAAUGAGUGAGGAGGACGUGACAAGCCCACAGAUAACAGCGGCAGCAUGUGUACUCUUUCCUUCUUUGCCUCUGUCUUCAUUGAAGAGUCUGGAUUUGAGUUUAAUUUCACUAGUUAGUGGUCUGUGGGGGCAUGAGUCUAUUCUAGCACCAUUACUCUGAUAAUUUGCACAUCACAGCCGAGGCUCGGAAUCUUCUCUGUUGGGAAGAGAUGCAGACUUUAUGAAGAAAAGAUUUUCUCCUUAGGUUAUUGUCUGGACUUGUCUUUUUUCAUUUUUUUUAAAAAAUGAAGUUGUAUACUCAACUACCUCAGGGUCUUAAACUAUUCAUUUCCAGUCUAUCUUAGGACUUGUAUUUCGACAGAGAUUUCAAUACUUUUGGCUAACUCAUUGUCCCCUGUUAAAGUACAAAUAUCUGAGUACUGACUGUGUAGAGAGAUUAGAGAGAGAUUCGGUUGUGAUAUAGUGCUGAAGAAAAAUAGGACAAAGGCCAUGAACUUGUGUGACCUUCUAUGGCCAUCCCAGCUACUGUUAUUUGCACAGAACAGAGGAGGAAGAUGGGAAAGGUUAAAAAUUAUUUCCUCCUCACAGUAUCAUUCAGCUCUAUUUCUUUUUGAGGAAGAAGAACCUUUUAGAUAUUUGUCUAGCCAGGGAGGUAUGAUAAGAUCUAAGGACCAAAAUGGUUUUAUGAUCAUAAAUUAGGUGAAAGUUGAACUGAGGGACUCAGAGAAGCCUUAGCUAGGGUAUCUUUCACAUUCUUUGAGCAGCUGUAGACUUUUUUCUUUCAGGGCAGAGGCUUAUUAGCCACAGCAGCAAUCUCCUUUCCCAAAAAGUAGAUGGAAUUCAAAGUAGCAGAGGGGCCAAAGGUAACACCUCCACUGAACACAAUAGCUAAGUCAAGUAGAAGGAUGAAAGAAUAUAGUCCUUCUCUGAAGGGGAGGAGGCUGGUUAAUAACAGGGCUUCCCAUUGAAAGGGUUCUUAAUCUAAUAUCUGUGAAUGUUUUUUAGAAAAAAUUGUUUUUGGAUAACCAUAUUUCAAUAUUAUAAAUUUCCGUUGUAAUACCUUGUAUUUUCUUUUAUGCAUUUAACUUAUGAUUCUGAGAAGGGUCUAUAGGUUUCAUCAGAGAGCCAAGGGGGCAUAAUACAAAAAAAAAAUUAAGAACCCAUUUCCUGUGGGAUUGGGGCAAUGUCUGGAAGAGCUGGGCUGACAGAACUGUAGUCCUCUUUUUCAGGAAAGAGGCUUACUGACCACAGCACCCUGAUUGGAUAGGGCAGGCCUGUAUAACAUACUGCUCACGGGCCACAUAUUGUGCAGGCCUGGGUUAGGGUAUGAAGAGAUCCUGAGGAUUGCUGAAUAACUGAAGACCAGCUGGAGCAGAGAUGUGAUAACCAAUAAAGAGUAGUUCAGAUACUGUGACCA